AAUAAGGCUCUUUUCAGAGCCACCUACUUUGUCAAAAACUGUUGU
rfam:Canis lupus familiaris chromosome 35, whole genome shotgun sequence.